rnacentral:lncRNA from 1 species
UCAAAUAUCAGAAAUAAAUCCACAACUAACAUGAAAUUAACAGACAUAUUAACAAAAUCCGCGACAACCCGUUUACUUAUGAAUGGGUUUAUUUGGGUUGUCUUUUUAAACGGGACAAACAGGUUGAAAUAGUUUGCUUUCAAUACAUACAACCCAUCCUCAAUUUCUAAACUUUUACGUCAAAGAUUUAAAUUAUUAAUGCAAUAGUCUUGUUUUUGUGGUAGAUUUCCAUAAUUCAGAAUGUGAUUAGCAUAAGUGGCUUGACCCGUUUAGUAAAUGGUUUGAUCUAGAUUAUGCUUUAUUGGUAAAUUCUAUACACUUGUUAAACAGUUUUUAUUUUAAAAAAAAUAGAUUAUGACUUUCUUAAGCAUACUAAAAAAAAUUA